GACGAACGCUGGCGGCGUGCUUAACACAUGCAAGUUGAACGGAAAGGCCCUGCUUUUGUGGGGUGCUCGAGUGGCGAACGGGUGAGUAACACGUGAGUAACCUGCCCUUGACUUUGGGAUAACUUCAGGAAACUGGGGCUAAUACCGGAUAGGAGCUCCUGCUGCAUGGUGGGGGUUGGAAAGUUUCGGCGGUUGGGGAUGGACUCGCGGCUUAUCAGCUUGUUGGUGGGGUAGUGGCUUACCAAGGCUUUGACGGGUAGCCGGCCUGAGAGGGUGACCGGCCACAUUGGGACUGAGAUACGGCCCAGACUCCUACGGGGGGCAGCAGUGGGGAAUAUUGCACAAUGGGCGGAAGCCUGAUGCAGCAACGCCGCGUGCGGGAUGACGGCCUUCGGGUUGUAAACCGCUUUCGCCUGUGACGAAGCGUGAGUGACGGUAAUGGGUAAAGAAGCACCGGCUAACUACGUG
rnacentral:rRNA from 1 species